CGCACAUGGCCCAACUGAUAUGACGUGCUUGCACUGAAUUGACGUUGGAUUACCAGUGAGCGGCGGACGGGUGAGUAACACGUGGGCAACCUGCCCUGAAGCGGGGGAUAACAUCUGGAAACAGGUGCUAAUACCGCAUAACAACGAAAACCACAUGGUUUUCGUUUCAAAGAUGGUUUCGGCUAUCACUUCAGGAUGGGCCCGCGGUGCAUUAGCUAGUUGGUAAGGUAACGGCUUACCAAGGCAAUGAUGCAUAGCCGAGUUGAGAGACUGAUCGGCCACAAUGGAACUGAGACACGGUCCAUACUCCUACGGGAGGCAGCAGUAGGGAAUCUUCCACAAUGGGCGCAAGCCUGAUGGAGCAACACCGCGUGAGUGAAGAAGGGUUUCGGCUCGUAAAGCUCUGUUGUUGGAGAAGAACGUGCGUGAGAGUAACUGUUCACGCAGUGACGGUAUCCAACCAGAAAGUCACGGCUAACUACGUGCCAGCAGCCGCGGUAAUACGUAGGUGGCAAGCGUUAUCCGGAUUUAUUGGGCGUAAAGCGAGCGCAGGCGGUUGCUUAGGUCUGAUGUGAAAGCCUUCGGCUUAACCGAAGAAGGGCAUCGGAAACCGGGCGACUUGAGUGCAGAAGAGGACAGUGGAACUCCAUGUGUAGCGGUGGAAUGCGUAGAUAUAUGGAAGAACACCAGUGGCGAAGCGGCUGUCUGGUCUGCAACUGACGCUGAGGGCUCGAAAGCAUGGGUAGCGAACAGGAUUAGU
rnacentral:rRNA from 2 species